ACUUCAGUGGUGAACCUGGACCAACGAGAGGUCAGAGGUCACAGUCUGCAGGGUCCAGCUGUCCGUCUGUGAGGAGUGACCGGUCCAAAGGUCAACAACCAGACAUCAGUGGUGAACCUGGACCAACGAGAGUGGACCAGCAGAGCUCAGAGGUUCCCAGUGGUCAGUCUGCCCAACAGCAUCAAACACAGCUGGACUCCAUAUUUAUGGUCUGUACAUGUACAACAACUACUUUACAUCUAUUCUGUUCACAGUCAUCUCCAUGCUGCUCUUUGUAGACCAGUGGAUUG